rnacentral:rRNA from 1 species
UACGUAGGUGGCAAGCGUUGUCCGGAAUUAUUGGGCGUAAAGCGCGCGCAGGUGGUUUCUUAAGUCUGAUGUGAAAGCCCACGGCUCAACCGUGGAGGGUCAUUGGAAACUGGGGGACUUGAGUGCAGGAGAGAAGAGUGGAAUUCCACGUGUAGCGGUGAAAUGCGUAGAGAUCAUGAGGAAGACCAGUGGCGAAGGCGGGUCUCUGGACAGUUCCUGACACUGAGACACGAAGGCCAGGGGAGCAAACGGG